ACUCUGAUAAAAGCGGAAGUGUUGCCCGGAGCUCUAGAGCUCUGGGGAGACUCCAAAGGGCUUUACUUCUCUUAGCCCUACCCCGCGGAUCUCUUCCUUCAAGUUGAUGUGCCCGGGCCAGGAAAGCCUUGUACCCUGAAUCUUAUGUUGCCAGCUUUAGCGGCUUGAAUAAGAAUUCUGGUGGUAAGGAGUUGAUGGCUUUCUCGUCUUGUGAUGCGGCGGGCAGGCGUCUAAAGAUGACUCAUUCUUCCAAAUGGCAGCCACCAUCUCACAGACUGUCAAGUUUCUGUGGGGCACGUGACCAUAGGGGGUGUGGUGGGUGUGUCUGAUGCAUCUCUCCUGCCUGUCUGUGGAGGGUUCUAAUAGAGGACAAUGAUGGAGUCUGUAAACCUGGCUAAGGGGAAGAAGAUAAACCAACAAGCUGUUGAUUCUGUGGA